CAGGGAGACAGGUCACACUCUUACUAGACCAGCCCUGUGGAGGGAGGCACAACCAGGUCCCACAACAGCCUGCAACCUGUGGAACUCACCUCUCUUAGUUUUAUGGGGGUGUGGCCUCCUUCCUCCCUCAAGUGCUGGGCAGCGAUCCCAACUUAGUAUUCCUGAAUCACGAGCCAGAGCUCUUAGGCACCAGGACCUGCUCUCAGCUCCCUGCUCCAGAUACUUAGGGUUGAGUUCUGGAUGUGCUGGAGGAUCUGAAAGGCUCCUGGUCUGCUAGGUUGCACUCAGAUGGAGCAAAGCAUCAGUACCGGGUAGUGGGGGCUGCAUUGUGUACAUGUUCUUGCAGAGUGGCCAAGCAGGAGCCUGGGAGAGGCUGGCAGGAAUGCCUGUUACUAUGCAUCUAACAAAGGACUAAAAUCCAGAAUCUACAAGGAACUAAACUCAACAAGAAAAAAUAAUCUCAUUAACAAGUGGGGAAAAGAUAGGAACAGACAUUUCUCAAAAGAAGAUAUACAAGAGGACAAGAAACAUAAAAUAAAAUGCUCAAUAUCACUAACCGUCAGUGAAAUGCAAGUUAAAACCACAAUGAGAUGCCACAUCACACCGGUCGGAAUGGCCAUUAUUAAAAAGUCAAAAAACCACAGAUGUCGACAAAGAUGCAGAGAAAAGGGAGCACUUAUACACCGUUGGUGCGAAUAUGAAUUAGUACAACCUCUAUGGACAACAGUAUAGAGAUUUCUCAAAGAAGUAAAAAUAGAACCACCAUUAGGCCCAGCAAUCCCACUACUGGGUAUCUACCCAAAGAAAGAGAAAUUGUUAUAUAUAUAUAUCUGCACUCAUAUGUUUAUCACUGCACUAGUCGCAGUAACAAAGUCAUGGAAUGAACCUAAGUUUCCAUCAAAAGAUGAUUGGAUAAAGAAAAUGUGGAAUACCAUGAAAUACUACACAUCCGUAGAAAAAAAAUUAUGUCUUCUGCAGCAACAUGGAUGUAACUGGAGGUCAAAAUACUCAGAAACACAACAUCAAAUACCACAUGUUCUCACUUAUAAAUGGGAGACAUGUACAAACAGAGAAAAAUAGUCAAGGCUGGGGACUUUAAAAGAGGGGCUUGGGAGGGACUUGAGAGUUGAAAAAUUACCUACUGGAUACAAUGUUCAUUAUUCAGGUAAUAGGAACAUUAGAAGCCCAAAUCUCAGCUUUCCACAAUAUAUCCAUGUGACAAAUCUGCAUAUAUACCCACUGAAUCUAUAAAAAUAAAAUGAAUAAAUUUUAAAAAGCAUGUUUCAACACUUCAUAGAAACUCUACAGUUUGGUUAUUAACAUAGAAUCUUCUAGGUCUCAUGGUCAAGUAGCAACAGAGCUAAAUCUAUUCCUAAGAGUUCUUUUUCUAUGAACCUCAAAACUGACAGCCUUAAGAAUUAUCUAACUAAUAGGCUAAAACAAUAUUCUUAAACAUGAUAUAUUCUUCCUCCAAAAUCCAAGAAGUUCCACACAAGACUGUGCCUUUUUGUUGGAGGUAGUAGGUACAAAGAAAAAUAACUUGACCUUGAGUUUAGAGUACAUAUUCUGAUGUGGACUAGAUCAUUAAAUCACUAAAGUAAUAACCAAUAUGGCAGUGUAAUUAUGAUUAUAGGUUUUAUCUCUGACUCUUGGCAGCCAUGUUUGCUAGGAAAUUAUUUGCCAUGGUCUGCUCACCAAAUCCAAUUUACACAAUAUUAUUACAAUAGAGGGCCACAAUGAUGCUCUGUUGAAUGCCAAGAUGAAAACGGUAUCUUCUUCUAGAGAGGAUGGAGGUAGUCUACCCCUGUGAUACGAUAGUGAGUGUUGUCUAUAUUUUCCUAGGUGAAUUUGAACUACUACAUUUACACUCUUUGUGCGAUUAAAAAGGACGUAUCUUCCAGAUCAAUAAAAGCUUACCAAAAGUUACAGUAGGUAUUGAUCUCUUCUGGUAAUGAUAUUACAUCCAGCACAGAGCUGCAAUUGAGUUUUCACAUGCUUAAUUAUGCCGUAGUUCUCUGUCGUCUGCCAUGA
rnacentral:lncRNA from 10 species